rnacentral:rRNA from 1 species
AUUGAACGCUGGCGGCAGGCCUAACACAUGCAAGUCGAACGAGUGGCGGACGGGUGAGUAAUGUCUGGGAAACUGCCUGAUGGAGGGGGAUAACUACUGGAAACGGUAGCUAAUACCGCAUACCAUCAGAUGUGCCCAGAUGGGAUUAGCUAGUUGGUGGGGUAACGGCUCACCAAGGCGACGGUCCCUAGCUGGUCUGAGAGGAUGACCAGCCACACUGGAACUGAGACACGGUCCAGAAUCCGACGUGAGGAAGAAGUGGGAAAGAUUGCAAAAGGGGGGCAAGCCUGAGGCAGCAAUGCCGCGUGUAUGAAGAAGGCCGUCGGGUUGUAAAGUACUUUCAGCGGGGAGGCGUUACCCGCAGAAGAAGCACCGGCUAACUCCGUGCCAGCAGCCGCGGUAAUUC